rnacentral:rRNA from 1 species
AGAGUUUGAUCCUGGCUCAGGAUGAAUGCUAGCGACAGGCUUAACACAUGCAAGUCGAGGGGCAGCGGGGUAGUGCUUGCACUACUGCCGGCGACCGGCGCACGGGUGAGUAACACGUAUGGAACCUGCCCGCAGCAGGGGGAUAAGCGGAAGAAAUUCCGUCUAAUACCGCGUAAGAACGUUGGGAGGCAUCUCCCGAUGUUUAAAGAUUUAUCGGCUGCGGAUGGCCAUGCGGCGCAUUAGCUAGUCGGCGGGGUAACGGCCCACCGAGGCGACGAUGCGUAGGGGUUCUGAGAGGAAGGUCCCCCACACUGGUACUGAGACACGGACCAGACUCCUACGGGAGGCAGCACUGAGGAAUAUUGGUCAAUGGCCGAGAGGCUGAACCAGCCAAGUCGCGUGAGGGAAGACGGCCCUACGGGUUGUAAACCUCUUUUGUCGGGGAGCAAAGCGAACCACGUGUGGUUCAUUGAGAGUACCCGAAGAAAAAGCAUCGGCUAACUCCGUGCCAGCAGCCGCGGUAAUACGGAGGAUGCGAGCGUUAUCCGGAUUUAUUGGGUUUAAAGGGUGCGCAGGCGGAGGUGCAAGUCAGCGGUCAAAUUGCGGGGCUCAACCCCGUACUGCCGUUGAAACUGCAUCCCUUGAGUGCGCGAGAAGUAUGCGGAAUGCGUGGUGUAGCGGUGAAAUGCAUAGAUAUCACGCAGAACUCCGAUUGCGAAGGCAGCAUACCGGCGCGCAACUGACGCUCAUGCACGAAAGCGUGGGUAUCGAACAGGAUUAGAUACCCUGGUAGUCCACGCAGUAAACGAUGAACACUAACUGUUCGGCCAGAAUGAUGGCUGAGUGGUACAGCGAAAGCGUUAAGUGUUCCACCUGGGGAGUACGCCGGCAACGGUGAAACUCAAAGGAAUUGACGGGGGCCCGCACAAGCGGAGGAACAUGUGGUUUAAUUCGAUGAUACGCGAGGAGCCUUACCCGGGCUCAAACGACACAGGAAUACUUUUGAAAGGAGGUAGCCCUACGGGGUCUGUGUCGAGGUGCUGCAUGGUUGUCGUCAGCUCGUGCCGUGAGGUGUCGGCUUAAGUGCCAUAACGAGCGCAACCCCUAUCGCCAGUUACCAUCAAGUAAAGUUGGGGACUCUGGCGAGACUGCCGGCGCAAGCUGAGAGGAAGGCGGGGAUGACGUCAAAUCAGCACGGCCCUUACGUCCGGGGCGACACACGUGUUACAAUGGCAGGUACAGAGAGAAGCCAGGUGGUGACACCGAGCGGAACUCGAAAGCCUGUCUCAGUUCGGAUCGGAGUCUGCAACCCGACUCCGUGAAGCUGGAUUCGCUAGUAAUCGCGCAUCAGCCAUGGCGCGGUGAAUACGUUCCCGGGCCUUGCACACACCGCCCGUCAAG